UACGGAGGGUGCAAGCGUUAUCCGGAUUCACUGGGCUUAAAGGGUGUGUAGGCGGGUCUUUAAGUCAGUGGUGAAAUCUCUGAGCUCAACUCAGAAACUGCCAUUGAUACUAUUUAUCUUGAAUAUCGUUGAGGUUGGCGGAAUAUAUCAUGUAGCGGUGAAAUGCAUAGAUAUGAUAUAGAACACCGAUUGCGAAGGCAGCUAACUAAGCGAUGAUUGACGCUGAGGCACGAAAGCGUGGGGAGCAAACAGG
rnacentral:rRNA from 1 species